rnacentral:rRNA from 1 species
GACGAACGCUGGCGGCGUGCUUAACACAUGCAAGUCGAACGGAAAGGCCCUGCUUUUGUGGGGUGCUCGAGUGGCGAACGGGUGAGUAACACGUGAGUAACCUGCCCUUGACUUUGGGAUAACUUCAGGAAACUGGGGCUAAUACCGGAUAGGAGCUCCUGCUGCAUGGUGGGGGUUGGAAAGUUUCGGCGGUUGGGGAUGGACUCGCGGCUUAUCAGCUUGUUGGUGGGGUAGUGGCUUACCAAGGCUUUGACGGGUAGCCGGCCUGAGAGGGUGACCGGCCACAUUGGGACUGAGAUACGGCCCAGACUCCUACGGGAGGCAGCAGUGGGGAAUAUUGAACAAUGGGCGGAAGCCGGAUGCAGCAACGCCGCGUGCGGGAUGACGGCCUUCGGGUUGUAAGCCGCUUUCGCCUGUGACGAAGCGUGAGUGACGGUAAUGGGUAAAGAAGCACCGGCUAACUACGU